UCUCUGGUGGCUCAGAUGGUGAAGCGUCCGCCUGCAAUGCGGGAGACCCGGGUUCGAUUCCUGGGUCGGGAA
rnacentral:tRNA from 1 species